rnacentral:rRNA from 1 species
AAAAGCGAAUAAGGGCGUCUGGUGGAUGCCUAGGUGUCAAGUGCCGAUGAAGGACGUGGUACACCACGAAAGGCCCCGGUGAGGCGUGUGCAGCCGCAAACAGCCGGGGGUGUCCGAAUGGGGAAACCCACCCUGAGGAAAGUCAGGGUACGCCGCAAGGCGAGGGAACCGGGUGAAGUGAAACAUCUCAGUAGCCCGAGGAAAAGAAAGGAUUCCGCGAGUAGUGGCGAGCGAAAGCGGAAAAGCCUAAACCGUUCUCCGAGGAGGACGGGGUUGUAGGACCUGGAGAAAGACCCGUUAACGAAGCCGAAGGCUCUGGGAAGAGCCACCGCAGAGGGUGAGAGUCCCGUAGGCGCAGAGCGCGGGUUGGCCGGGGAUCCUGAGUACCACAGGACACGAGAAAUCCGGUGGGAAGCUGGGCAGACCACUGUCCAAGGCUAAAUACACUUGAGGACCGAUAGCGCACAAGUACGGUGACGGAAAGGUGAAAAGAACCCCGGCGAGGGGAGUGAAAGAGAAUCUGAAACCGGACGCUUACAAACGGUCAGAGCCUCCGCAAGGGGGUGAUGGCGUGCCUUUUGGAGAAUGAGCCAGCGAGUUCAUAUUUGUGGCAAGCUUAAGGGAGAGACACCCGGAGGCGAAGCGAAAGCGAGUCUGAACAGGGCGCAACAGUCGCAAGGAUGAGACACGAAACCAGGUGAGCUACGCAUGGUCAGGGUGAAAGCACGGUAACACGUGCGGGAGGCCCGAACUCACGUCUGCUGCAAAAGACGGGGAUGAACUGUGUGUAGGGGUGAAAUGCCAAACGAACUUGGAGAUAGCUUGUUCUCCCCGAAAUAGCUUUAGGGCUAGCGUUGUGUGGAAACUACCGGAGGUAAAGCUCUGGAUGGGCUAGGGGCCAGUGCGGUUACCGAACCCAACCAAACUAUGAAUGCCGGUAGGGGAGCACGGCAGUCGGACGGUGGGAGAUGAGUUUCAUCGUCGAGAGGGAAACAACCCAGACCCACGGCUAAGGUCCUGGAGUGCGUGCUAAGUGGGAAACGAUGUGGUCGUGUCGAGACAGCCAGGAGGUUGGCUUAGAAGCAGCCACCCUUGAAAGAGUGCGUAACAGCUCACUGGUCGAACGCGAUUGCGCGGAAAAUGUAACGGGGCUAAAGCACGCCACCGAAGCCUGGGAUGCUGAUAAAGCGUAGUAGGGGAGCGUUCUGUCGGCGGAGAAGGCAGUCUGGCAAGGACUGUUGGAGCGGGCAGAAGUGAGAAUGCUGGCAUGAGUAGCGAAAAACAUGUGAGAAUCAUGUUCGCCGAACGUCUAAGGUUUCCGACGGAAGGUUGGUCCGCGUCGGGUUAGUCGGGCCUAAGCCGAGGCUGAGAAGCGUAGGCGAUGGACAACGGGUGAAUAAUCCCGUACCAGGUGUGGGAGCGCAUUUGUACCUCGUGGGAAGGCUCAGCCUCUGAGUGGAUGGAGGUGGUAAGCGGGUAACACCCGUGAUGCCGUGCCGCAAGGCAGGAAGUGAGCGGGACCUACGGGCAAGAAAAGACAAGUGGGCGAUGAAAGCACCUGACCGUACCACAAACCGACACAGGUAGACGAGUUGAGUAUACGCAGGCGAACGGGAGAACCCUCGUUAAGGAACUCGGCAAAAUGGCCCCGUAACUUCGGGAGAAGGGGCGCCGCGAAGAGCGGCCGCAGUGAAAAGGCUCUAUCGACUGUUUACCAAAAACACAGGUCUCUGCCAACCCGUAAGGGGACGUAUAGGGGCUGACACCUGCCCAGUGCCGGAAGGUUAAGAGGAGGGGUCAGGCGCAAGCCGAAGCUCUGAAUUGAAGCCCCGGUGAACGGCGGCCGUAACUAUAACGGUCCUAAGGUAGCGAAAUUCCUUGUC